rnacentral:rRNA from 1 species
AUCUAAGUACCCCGAGGAAAAGAAAUCAACCGAGAUUCCCCCAGUAGCGGCGAGCGAACGGGGAGGAGCCCAGAGCCUGAAUCAGCAUGUGUGUUAGUGGAAGCGUCUGGAAAGGCGCGCGAUACAGGGUGACAGCCCCGUACACAAAAGCGCAUGUGCUGUGAGCUCGAUGAGUAGGGCGGGACACGUGGUAUCCUGUCUGAAUAUGGGGGGACCAUCCUCCAAGGCUAAAUACUCCUGACUGACCGAUAGUGAACCAGUACCGUGAGGGAAAGGCGAAAAGAACCCCGGCGAGGGGAGUGAAAAAGAACCUGAAACCGUGUACGUACAAGCAGUGGGAGCCCCACCACCAAAGCAUUUGCUGUACCGCGUUGACGGAGCGAAGCGACGUCAAACCGAUAAAACAGCAGUGUAAAGUGAGCCGCAGGGCGCUUUGCGCGACAGCGCAAAGGCAGGCGGUUUCGCGCAGCGAAAGCGAAUGCUUUGGGGUGGGGUGACUGCGUACCUUUUGUAUAAUGGGUCAGCGACUUAUAUUCUGUAGCAAGGUUAACCGCAUAGGGGAGCCGGAGGGAAACCGAGUCUUAAU